UUUGACUUGGGGAAAUAAGGUGUACAUUGUAUAGAAUAUCUGGUUCAGGGCAAUUGAUUUUGCAAAAGAACAAGGCUAAAGAUAAAAUUUUGCAUAAAUAAUUGCCAUUAUGGAGGUAAGCGUCGGGUCAUCAUGGGCAGUUGGUCUUUUUAAAAUCAUUGUGUUGCCUUGAUGAGGCAGAGUUGUGAUAAGAGAAAAUGCAAAGAACUUUUCUUUCCUCAUUAUGUAUUCGGGGCUUAACUUAUUCGGUCUACUUGCACUGAAUGUUAUGAUCACCUGAGCUAAAGAAUUUACAUUGUUUCUCCGUUGAUCAACAUGGUCAUCCAUGCAGAUAUCUGCUGUGCUCUACAAUUAUUGAGAUCAUUUUAUGGGAAAGUAGAUGAGACUUCAUAAUUUGAUUAGCAGCUCUAGACCUGAAUGGAUAGAGUGUAAAAAAUUUGUUUCUGUGAGGUAGGAAUCAGACAUGGAAUGGGCAUCUUGCUGCUGAUAGUUGCAUUUAAGUUGAUCUUGUAAUUGUUUAUAUUUAGA
rnacentral:misc_RNA from 1 species